CCUGACUGCUAUCGGAUUGAUACUAAGCCAUGCGAGUCAUUGUAGCAAUACAAGGCAUACGGCUCAGUAACGCGUAGUCAACCUAACCUAUGGACGGGAAUAACCUCGGGAAACUGAGAAUAAUGCCCGAUAGAACAUUAUGCCUGGAAUGGUUUAUGUUCCAAAUGAUUUAUCGCCGUAGGAUGGGACUGCGGCCUAUCAGUUUGUUGGUGAGGUAAUGGCCCACCAAGACUAUUACAGGUACGGGCUCUGAGAGGAGUAGCCCGGAGAUGGGUACUGAGACACGGACCCAGGCCCUAUGGGGCGCAGCAGGCGAGAAAACUUUGCAAUGUGCGAAAGCACGACAAGGUUAAUCCGAGUGAUUUCUGCUAAAGAAAUCUUUUGUUAGUCCUAGAAACACUAACGAAUAAGGGGUGGGCAAGUUCUGGUGUCAGCCGCCGCGGUAAAACCAGCACCUCAAGUGGUCAGGAUGAUUAUUGGGCCUAAAGCAUCCGUAGCCGGCUCUGUAAGUUUUCGGUUAAAUCUGUACGCUUAACGUACAGGCUGCCGGGAAUACUGCAGAGCUAGGGAGUGGGAGAAGUAGACGGUACUCGGUAGGAAGUGGUAAAAUGCUUUGAUCUAUCGAUGACCACCUGUGGCGAAGGCGGUCUACUAGAACACGUCCGACGGUGAGGGAUGAAAGCUGGGGGAGCAAACCGGAUUAGAUACCCGGGUAGUCCCAGCUGUAAACUAUGCAAACUCAGUGAUGCAUUGGCUUGUGGCCAAUGCAGUGCUGCAGGGAAGCCGUUAAGUUUGCCGCCUGGGAAGUACGUACGCAAGUAUGAAACUUAAAGGAAUUGGCGGGGGAGCACCACAAGGGGUGAAGCCUGCGGUUC
rnacentral:rRNA from 2 species